rnacentral:misc_RNA from 1 species
UCCGGUUUGUCGCCGGCAGUCUCCCUAGAGUUCCCGACCGAAUCGCUGGCAACAUCGGACAGGGGUUGCGCUCGUUGCGCCACUUAAGGCAACACCUCACGGCACGAGCUGACGACAGCCAUGCAGCACCUGUGCGGGCUCCCGAAGGCACUCCGUCGUCUCCGACAGAUUCCGAGGAUGUCAAGGGUAGGUAAGGUUCUUCGCGUUGCAUCGAAUUAAACCACAUGCUCCACCGCUUGUGCGGGCCCCCGUCAAUUCAUUUGAGUUUUAACCUUGCGGCCGUACUCCCCAGGCGGUCGACUUAUCGCGUUAACUGCGCCACAAAGUCCGCGAGGGACCCAACGGCUAGUCGACAUCGUUUACGGCGUGGACUAC